rnacentral:rRNA from 1 species
GAUGAACGCUGGCGGCGUGCCUAAUACAUGCAAGUCGAUCGAACAGACGAGGAGCUUGCUCCUCUGACGUUAGCGGCGGACGGGUGAGUAACACGUGGAUAACCUACCUAUAAGACUGGGAUAACUUCGGGAAACCGGAGCUAAUACCGGAUAAUAUAUUGAACCGCAUGGUUCAAUAGUGAAAGACGGUUUUGCUGUCACUUAUAGAUGGAUCCGCGCCGCAUUAGCUAGUUGGUAAGGUAACGGCUUACCAAGGCAACGAUGCGUAGCCGACCUGAGAGGGUGAUCGGCCACACUGGAACUGAGACACGGUCCAGACUCCUACGGGAGGCAGCAGUAGGGAAUCUUCCGCAAUGGGCGAAAGCCUGACGGAGCAACGCCGCGUGAGUGAUGAAGGUCUUCGGAUCGUAAAACUCUGUUAUUAGGGAAGAACAAAUGUGUAAGUAACUAUGCACGUCUUGACGGUACCUAAUCAGAAAGCCACGGCUAACUACGUG